UACGUAGGGUGCGAGCGUUAAUCGGAAUUACUGGGCGUAAAGCGUGCGCAGGCGGUUUUGUAAGCCAGAUGUGAAAGCCCCGGGCUUAACCUGGGAAUGGCAUUUGGGACUGCAAGGCUUGAGUGCGGCAGAGGAGACUGGAAUUCCUGGUGUAGCAGUGAAAUGCGUAGAGAUGUGGAGGAACACCAGUGGCGAAGGCGGCCUUCUGGUCUGUAACUGACGCUGAGGCGCGAAAGCGUGGGGAGCAAACAGG
rnacentral:rRNA from 1 species